rnacentral:rRNA from 1 species
GACGAACGCUGGCGGCGUGCUUAACACAUGCAAGUCGAACGGAAAGGCCCUGCUUGCAGGGUACUCGAGUGGCGAACGGGUGAGUAACACGUGGGUGAUCUGCCCUGCACUUCGGGAUAAGCCUGGGAAACUGGGUCUAAUACCGGAUAGGAGCCAUUUUUAGUGUGAUGGUUGGAAAGUUUUUUCGGUGUAGGAUGAGCUCGCGGCCUAUCAGCUUGUUGGUGGGGUAAUGGCCUACCAAGGCGGCGACGGGUAGCCGGCCUGAGAGGGUGGACGGCCAUAUUGGGACUGAGAUACGGCCCAGACUCCUACGGGAGGCAGCAGGGGGGAAGAUUGCACAAUGGGCGCAAGCCUGAUGAAGCGACGCCGCGUGGGGGAUGACGGCCUUCGGGUUGUAAACGCCUUUCGCUAGGGACGAAGCUUUUUGUGACGGUACCUAGAUAAGAAGCACCGGCUAACUACGUG